rnacentral:rRNA from 1 species
AUUGAACGCUGGCGGCAUGCUUUACACAUGCAAGUCGAACGGUAACGCGGGGGCAACCCUGGCGACGAGUGGCGAACGGGUGAGUAAUACAUCGGAACGUGUCCUGGAGUGGGGGAUAGCUCGGCGAAAGCCGGAUUAAUACCGCAUACGCUCUGAGGAGGAAAGCGGGGGACCUCCGGGCCUCGCGCUGCGGGAGCGGCCGAUGUCGGAUUAGCUAGUUGGUGGGGUAAAGGCCCACCAAGGCGACGAUCCGUAGCUGGUCUGAGAGGAUGAUCAGCCACACUGGGAAUGAGACACGGCCCAGACUCCUACGGGAGGCAGCAGUGGGGAAUUUUGGACAAUGGGGGCAACCCUGAUCCAGCCAUGCCGCGUGAGUGAAGAAGGCCUUCGGGUUGUAAAGCUCUUUCGGACGGAACGAAACGGUUACGGUGAAUAAUCGUGACUAAUGACGGUACCGUAAGAAGAAGCACCGGCUAACUACGUGCCAGCCGCCGCCGUAA